rnacentral:tRNA from 5 species
GCAAAUGUGGUGAAGCGGUUAACACAGCGGGUUGUGGUCCCGUCAUGCGCGAGUUCGAAUCUCGUCAUUUGCCCCA